rnacentral:tRNA from 1 species
GGCCCGUUGGAGAAACGGUUAACUCACAAGCCUUUCACGCUUGCAUACAGGGGUUCGAAUCCCGUACGGGUCACCA